rnacentral:pre_miRNA from 1 species
AGCCUUCUGUAUGGGUGCUGGGAUUUCGUUAGACACCAGACCACAAGGGCUUAUGAGAAUCCUAAGAUAAGUGAAGUG